UACGGAGGGUGCGAGCGUUGUCCGGAAUCACUGGGCGUAAAGGGCGCGUAGGUGGCACGGGUAGUCGUCGGUGAAAGCUCAGGGCUCAACCCUGAGUCGGCCGGUGAUACGCCCGAGCUCGAGUGUGGUAGAGGCCAAUGGAAUUCCGGGUGUAGCGGUGGAAUGCGUAGAGAUCCGGAAGAACACCGGUGGCGAAGGCGGUUGGCUGGGCCACAACUGACACUGAUGCGCGACAGCGUGGGGAGCAAACAGG
rnacentral:rRNA from 1 species